AUUGAACGCUGGCGGCAUGCUUUACACAUGCAAGUCGAACGGUAACAGGCCGAGAGGUGCUGACGAGUGGCGAACGGGUGAGUAAUGCAUCGGAACGUGCCCAGACGUGGAGGAUAACUACUCGAAAGAUUAGCUAAUACCGCAUACGAUCUAUGGAGGAAAGCGGGGGACCGCAAGGCCUCGCGCGACUUGAGCGGCCGAUGUCAGAUUAGGUAGUUGGUGGGGUAAAGGCUCACCAAGGCAACGAUCUGUAGCUGGUCUGAGAGGACGACCAGCCACACUGGGACUGAGACACGGUCCAGACUCCUACGGGAGGCAGCAGUGGGGAAUUUUGGACAAUGGGCGCAUGCCUGAUCCAGCAAUACCGCGUGGAGGAAGAAGGCCUUCGGGUUUUAAAGUCCUUUUGUUAGGAAAGAAAAGGAUCUGGUUAAUACCCCGCUGUACUGACGGUACCGUAAGAAUAAGCACCGGCUAACUACGUG
rnacentral:rRNA from 1 species